GAUGAAGAACGUAGCGAAAUGCGAUAAGUAAUGCGAAUUGCAGAAUUUCCGUGAGUCAUCGAGUCUUUGAACGCACAUUGCGCCCCCUGGUAUUCCGGGGGGCAUGCCUGUCCGAGCGUCAUUGCUGCCCUCAAGCACGGCUUGUGUGUUGGGCCCCGUCCUCCGAUCCCGGGGGACGGGCCCGAAAGGCAGCGGCGGCACCGCGUCCGGUCCUCGAGCGUAUGGGGCUUUGUCACCCGCUCUGUAGGCCCGGCCGGCGCUUGCCGAUCAACCCAAAUUUUUAUCCAGGUUGACCUCGGAUCAGGUAGGGAUACCCGCUGAACUUAAGCAUAUCAAUAAGCGGAGGA
rnacentral:misc_RNA from 1 species